UACGUAGGGGGCGAGCGUUGUCCGGAUUUAUUGGGCGUAAAGAGCUCGUAGGCGGCUUAGCAAGUCAGGUGUGAAACCUCCAGGCUCAACCUGGAGACGCCACUUGAUACUGCUAUGGCUUGAGUUUGGUAGGGGAAGACGGAAUUCCUGGUGUAGCGGUGAAAUGCGCAGAUAUCAGAGAGGAACACCGAUGGCGAAGGCAGUCUUCUGGGCCAAAACUGACGCUGAGGAGCGAAAGCGUGGGGAGCGAACAGG
rnacentral:rRNA from 1 species